CCGGGCAGAAGGUGCGCUGGGGGAUUCUGGCGACCGGUGGGAUGGCGGCGACGUUCACGGCGGAUCUGGUCGAU
rnacentral:tRNA from 1 species